GGCUGGAGGGGCGGGGAGAAGAGCGGAACGUCCCGUAUCCGCCUAUCAGCGGGCUGCUUGGUGGCCUGCCGCUUACGUCAGUCCGCUCCUUUCUGCGACCUCCCCCGCUCGGAUUCCGCUGGGUCCUAAAGUUGAAAGAGCCCGGGGAAGGGUCUUGCUGCAGCCAGGUGGUGGGGCACCCAGGCGGGUCACACCGCUGCUCCAGCCCCGUCCCUGCUGCACGCAGGGGUGUGUUACAGAACAGAGCGUGAAACCCCAGCCGUAGCCAGGAAGCCUGUUCCUGGCAUGCAAUAACCCCAGGCUGCCUGGAGAGAGGAGCCUCAGAAGUGUGCCUUUGGGGAACAGCGCUCCUGGCCUCAAUUGCGGGCUGUGUCCGUGGUUUUUCACGCUGAACCGCUCUGCUUCAUGCCACCCAUCUGUAAAUGGGAGUAAUAACAAUCAACUAUCAUAUUUCAGCAUCGCGGCUGUUCCACCGUGGUUCAAUAUGCUUUGGGCCAUAGGAGUGUGUGAGAACGGCUCUCGAGGGCAGGGCACUCACCUGAGUGCGGGACACCUACCGUCAAAUCCCUUCUCAGGAGGCAGAGGGGGAAACUGAACUCGCAUCUCCUGCAUCCCAGGUUCAAGAACUGAUGUGUUAGACUCCCUUACAACACAGACUGCCUCACUCCCAGUGAGAUGGACCACUUACCUGCUCUCUACUACUCUUAUUGUAACUUCUGAAGAAUAUUAUGGAAGAUUUUUAUUUUUGAGCAAAGACAAGCUGACAGAGAUAAUCUUUAAAGAAAUCUAUAUAACAACUUAUUUCCCAAUGAAGGAGGGUCUGAAUCUGGAACCCUCACCACAGACUGGUUCCUCCAGAAGUGCAGGACUAACUACAUUCGCUAACAGCAAGAGAAAGUUGUUAUCCCACAGUAGGAGAAUUUGAGCCACUGGUACUGUGUGCUGGGUUUAGAGAGUAAUUAGGAGGAGUCUGGCCUGGCUUUCUCCCCCUCUCUUCCCUGGGAUAUGGAGGAUUCCUGCCCUGUGUGGUGCCCCCAAAGAUGCUGGCAAAAUUUUCCUGAGAAAAGCAAGCCACAGCAGGGAAAUGAUGGAGAAAUGGAGGCAGAAAGAGGUAUCCAGUGUCACAAAGCAAAUCAAUGGAAGAGCUGUGAAUAAGACCCAAGGCUCCUGACUCCCAGAACAGUGUCCUAUCCACUGGAUCACACUCAGAGCUAGCAGAGCCAAGUCCAUAUAUUGCUAGUAAAGAGUAAUUGUUUGCUAACGUGUUUUCAUAACCUCACUGUUUGAAUUGUGACUGCCAGUGAUAUCUUUUCUGGUGUUUUAGUCUUUAUGAUUGGAGGAUGGAGCUGUGGGGUGAUCUCCUUUUCCUUCCCACCCCACCCCCCCCCCCGCCAAAAAAAAAGGGUCUACAACUGUCUCUUCAUGAUGGGCAGAUUUCACUUUGGGAGGGCACAGGGCUUAUGUUCAGACUUCCUGGUAUUUUAAAAAUUGGUUUUUGUUUAAUUACUUAUUUAAGGAUGAUAUGAGGCUUCUGAAUUUUAUAAUAACUAACUCACCAUUUGUUUGAUCUAAGCCAUCAUCUCGCUUUUGUUGAGGAGAUGGGGGUAUUUCAUAAAAGAAAAAUCAAUAAUUUAUUUUAUUACUUAAAAGAAAAUAUAGAGAGAACCUCACCAGUAUUUUGCCCGAGCAUAGACAAGUAGUAGGGACGACAGUCUCUAAAACAUGUAAUAUUUAUCAGGCUAAGGGUCAGACUCACCCCCACACUCAGCAAACAAAAAAUUGUGUAACACAAAUACACAUCAUGUACCAAAUGACACGGAGGCAAACAAACCAGAACAAAAAGUUAGCAGAAAAGACUUGGGCUAUCUCAGUGACUCAUAUGUUGGAAUUAUUUCUAGGGGUCCCUAGAAUGAAAAGCCUUACUCAUGUUGCUUAUUAUCAGAGAAAAGAGUCUGACAACGCUAGAAACAGAUCCAUUUUUAUCAUGUCACACAAUUCCCUUGUGUCACUUUUCUAUGGUAGUGAUGGUGUCCAUUUACAUGCACAGACAACAUGGGAGUCAGCUUAACCACAUACUUGUGAAAUCAGACAUCUGCCUGUAGAGUGCAAAAAACAGUUUAAUUAGCUCAGCCAGUAGAGGGAACUGCUAAUCAGUAGUAGUUGCUUGAGCAAAUCUGAUAUAUACUCUGUCCAGUACAGUAUAUAUCCAGUAAGUUAUGGUUUGAGACACGAAUGUAAGGUACUAUGUGUCAGACCUUAAAUCAUUCAACUUGCCUUCCAUGAACUCCCUCCACAAUGCCCAUACAGAUCUUCAUCUCCUUUCAGUUUGACCAGUACAACUCCCUUCUCUAGGGCCCCUUGCCACAUGCAAUGGUAUUCCUGUAUCUCUCUGCCUCACUGAGCACUCAGUUCAUUUCAAAUCUCAGCUAAAAUAUACCAUAUUGUUUUCCCUCUGUGCCUUUUAUUUCCUUCUCCCUCUGCUACUAUUCACAUCUGGAACAUGUUUUGGAAAAUAGUUUGUAUACAAAAAAGGGUCAAAUCUUGCAGUUCUUAUUUGGGCAAAACUCACAGUAAAGUCAUACGGACUUAAGAUUGGGCUGUAAAGUGAUGAUGCUUCCCAGAGACACCCAGGGCUGUGAUGAGGCACCUCACUACCACCUGCCCUUAAGCGUGAGGAGACCUUGUCUGUGCCUGCUGGAGUCAGCUAUCCAGCUCCACUGGCAAUGAUCAACACAAGCACUCCCUGUGAUGCUGGCAGACCAGGUGCCAGCUCAUGUCAAGGCCCCUAGGCCUCACUGAACACUGAUAAAUUGUAGGAGGUCGGGAUUGUUCCUCCCUGUCCAUCUGCAGAGGCCAUGCCCCCUCUCUACAGUGCCUGUGUAGGGGUCAAGUUCAGGGGAAAUUAGCAUGGGCAGCUCGAGCCCUCUGGCAGGAUGGAGCACCAAACAGUUAGGUACCCCUAGACCACUGUCUGGGCAGACCAGAAAAAGACUCAAGGGGCCCUGGCCCUCAGGUAGGGUGGGGUGCCAAACCAUUAGAGGGCUCUGGCCUGCAGUCAGGACAGACAGCAAACAGUCUGACAUCCUAACUCCAGCGAAUGACAGACAAACACAGGCCUCUUUGGCCUGAGGUGGGGAGGCUGCCACCCCAGGGGUGGAGUGGCAGGGAUUAGGGGGACCCGGGCACACACAACUGCACAGGGUCCCAGCUUACGGCCCUACCAGUGGCAGAGUGUUCUGCCACUGGGUCAGUGGGGAUCUGUCUGAAACAUGCUAACCUAGUUUCAGGCCACAAUACAACCGGACUAUCUGAUUCCUAUGCUUCCGCUGUGGGGUACUUGGGUCUUGAGGUUGUCAUCCAUCUCCCCGGGGCAGACAGUUAAUGGCAGCCCUGACAGCUCUUUGGCAUCCCCCGCACCCAGCAGUUUUGGCAAGUCCUCCAGGACUUUGGCGAUGUAGUGGUAUCCAUUAGGCUCAAACUCCAGCAGCAGACAGGAAGACGUCCUCCUCUGGUGGCUCAGGCCCAACUGAGCUUGAGGGUCUGCACUUUGUACUUCCGGUUUCUGUCACGCCCUUCUGUUUCCAGCAGGGUGAGUAUCAAUGUCUUGACACCGCCCAGAAGGGGGUGGCCUGGGAGUCUCCAGGUCUGUUUGGGAGGGAGGCCAUGCCCCCUUGCUACACAAAUGCAUGGUUGGAAACUAGUCUAUCUUACUGUGUGUUAGCAUUUCUAGAAUAGAUAUUAAGUUGAUAAGAAUAUGAUUAAUGUUUAGACCUGAUGAAAUGCUUGUAGGAUGCUGCAUGUAUUGAUAUCACUUAUAACAUCUGUAGCCCAUGCUAUAAAGUUAUAUUGAAUGUUUGUAUUGUAAGCCUCUGUAAUUGUGUAACACAACAAACAGGAAAGAAGCAUUAAUUAGCGUAAAGUGCUGGUUCUGCACACAAGAAGGCGCACAGAAACCAAAUGAGCCAUUGUGAAACAUCGAAGGACAAAGACUUUGUUGAUUGCCUUCUCCCCCCUUUCCUACACCCAUGAAGAGGAGACUGGUGCCAACCCUUAUUUUAUCAGUUUGAACUCUGGGGGAAGAGAAUAAAAAUUCCUGACCAGAAGGAACUUUAUCAUUAUUCUGUUGGAAUUUGGAGAGAGCAAUAUUUCUAAGCAUAAGCAAGGGAUCCCCAAGCGGCUUUGUUUGGGCUAGCCCUAAAUGACAUGCAGAGCUUGCAUAUAUAUCAGCUACUGACACCUUUUGGAACGUGUGUGUUUACCUGCUUUAAGCUUGUAAAUAACUCAUUUCUUUUCUUAGUUAAUAAAUCUUUAGUUAGUUUAUUACAGGGAUGUCUGCAAGCAUUGUCUUUGGUGUGAGCUCUGGGGUACAACGGAGCUGAAAUAAGUGACUGGUAGUAACCUGAAUAUUGCUGUGAUUUUUGGUGUAAGGGACCAUCUGUCACAAAGGCAGGCUUGCCUGGGUGGCAAGAUAGACUGGCCUACCCAAGGGGACUGUCUAUGGUUCCUUGGUAAGGUUGUUAUAGUGCUUGUGGAGUUCACACUUGUUACUUAGUUGAUGAGAUCUAAUUAUAGAAUGUAUAACCAA